GAUUGCUUAGAAACUAGCGGUUAAAGAUGGAGUCUAGGGAACAGUCGAGAGUCACGCAAAUGUUAGAGGUGCCCUUGGCCUCAUGAGUGGUCGGUAGAAGGCGGCUGCAAGGAGCCUUUGAAAUGGUGCCGAGUUCUUCCUCUGCCAGAAAGCCUUUCCUCCGCGCUGACUGUGUCAAAGGCUACUCCCAGAGCACUCCAAUCAUUGUUCAAUGGAAGACUUAAAAGAAGCCCUGUGACUCGGGCUCAAAUCUGAAUAAGAUAGUUUCGAAGGAGAAGGAAGAGAAGUUAGAUAAAGAUGAGAAUUCAGAGGCGGAGAAGUAAGAUGAUCAACAGUUGCCUGCCUUGGACUUUGGAGUUCCCAAGAACUAGAAAAUCCAGGUCAGGAACUGUAUCUUUGCUCAGCCACCUGCAAACAGACUUGAGAACAAUGUAAACCACCCUCUGCAGGAUAUUGAUUCUGAUGGAGUAAAUGUUGAUUAAGCAGAAUGGUGUUUUUUUUUUUAACUGGAGGAAUUCCAGAUCUUUCCUUAGGCCUGUCUCUCCAGGGAAAUGAGCUCUAGCCUUAAAAAUCUACAGAAAACCUGAGUAAGAAUGAAGAUUUAUG
rnacentral:lncRNA from 1 species